rnacentral:tRNA from 1 species
GGGCGGUUGGCUCAGCGGUUAGAGCGCUUGCUUCACACGCAAGAGGUCGCAGGUUCAAUUCCUGCACCGCCCACGA